CCUACGGUGGGCAGCAGUGGGGGAUAUUGCACAAUGGGGGAAACCCUGAUGCAGCGACGCCGCGUGGGCGAAGAAGUAUUUCGGUAUGUAAAGCCCUAUCAGCAGGGAAGAAGAAAUGACGGUACCUGAGUAAGAAGCACCGGCUAAAUACGUGCCAGCAGCUGCGGUAAUACGUAGGGUGCAAGCGUUAUCCGAAUUUGUGGGGGGAAAGGGAGCGCAGGCGGCACGGCAAGCCUGCUGUGAAAGGCCGGGGCCCAACCGCGGGACUGCAUUGGGAACUACCGGGCUGGAGUGCCAGAGAGGUAGGCGGAAUUCCUAGUGUAGCGGUGAAAUGCGUAGAUAUUAGGAGGAACACCAGUGGCGAAGGCGGCCUACUGGACGGUGACUGACGCUGAGGCUCGAAAGCGUGGGGAGCAAACAGGAUUAGAUACCCGUGUAGUC
rnacentral:rRNA from 1 species